rnacentral:lncRNA from 1 species
UUAAAUAAAGUUUUGAAUGUCCCAUCGUCUGUCAUGCGUUUGAUACAGAAAUCAUCAAUACAAAGCUCUGCACGACGGCGGAUGCGGCGGCGCGAACUGGCGGUCGAGGCGAUGUUCCGGCGAGUCCUGUGCACCAAACGCGAAACGGCCGAGCCGAUGAGCACCAGGACAUCAAGUCAAGCAAAGCUAGAACAACAGAAAGAUGGGAGAGACACGUGCCAGUCCAUGGCGAAGGAGCUCACGGCGGGGAGACGGACGGCCGCGGAGAAGAACCGGCGCUGGGGACGACUCCGGCAACGAGAGGCGGCGCGUCUGGGAUCAAACGAUGCGCACGGACGAGGCGCACCUGGCUGCGAGAGUAAUUGGACGGAGGAGGGAUGGUUGUGGCGAGUUUAGCCGGCGAACCGAAGGUGAUCGGCGGCGAUCAAAAGGGUAAAAGGGAGAAAGAGUCGGCGGAGCUCUAGCGCUAGCUCGGGCUUGGACACGCCAGCUCUAGCUCCGGACUCGCCAGCUCUCGCUCGGGCUUGGACACGCAAGCAGCUGCGCGUCCACACGCGAGGAAGCGGCGCGAACGGCGGCGGCGGCCGUCGGCAAGCAGCUGCGUGGCAUUGGCAUGGGGACUGGGGUCUGGGCGUCCGUCCGGCCGUCUGGGGAGGCGGUGGGCAGGAGGAGAAUCGCGGAGCCGCGCUCACCGCUCAUCACUCCCGGGCCGGGACAGGCUGCGAGCGGUAGCGAAGUGGGCGGGCUGUGCGUUGGGCUUCGUCUCUGACGGGCCUGCCUGCGCGAGCUUUCUCCGUGUUCACCGUGCGCUCGUCGUUGGAUUGGAUGGCUGAUCG